AAAAGGAAGAAGGAAGGAAGGAAGGAAGGAAGGAAAAAGAAAAAUCAGUGUAAGAUGCUUAAUGAUAUGCUCAUAGACAGGGCAGCUUUCCUUAUGGUUCCAGAGUUACUAUCACUUCAUAAAACGAAUGCCCUUUUUCUCUAAUUAGAAUUGAGUAAGUGGUGAGGAUUACCGAUUCUUUUGGAAAUUUGGUAGAUUUUCUUGUUUAAGCUCUGAUACUGACAACCCUCAAAGGGCAGCAGGGGCUGAACCUUGCCGGUAUCUGGCAUGGGUUGCCUUCAGUCAUUUCUCUUAGAAACGCAUGCUACAUUUGUGAUUGCAAGUAUAUUGGUAUAAAAUGUGGUGAGGAGAGGAGGCUACAAAGACUUUUGUAAAUAUUGAUGAGACAACAGCUUGACCAGAUCUUCUCCUGCUUAGCUCAGUGACUCAACAAACUCACUCUUUCAGGAAGCGCAGACUUACACAAAGGUUUGUAGAUGAAUCUUCUAACAGCUCUAUUCUUCAAAAGUCUCCGCGCUGAAUACCUCAAAGUCAUCAACAGUUGAAUUGGUAAAUCGUGAUAUAUAAUAUGGCAGACUCCGGGGAGGGGAGGUUAAGAGGAAAUGAGCUAGUCUUGACACUCAACAUGAAUUCUGUAAUGUUGCUGAGUAAAAGAAAGCAUACAUAAAAAGUACAUUUUUUUGUGACACAAUGGAUACAACCCUGAGAAAGACAGGGUGUGGGGGCCAAAGGACAACUUUCAGGGUUCACCGUGUGGGAUCUGAGCUUGAUCAUCAUCAGGCCAUUGGGCCUAUAGAAACAUCGCUACCCUGAGCCAUCUCUCCAGCUCCCAUUUCUGAAAGACAGCCUACAGAUCCCUCUCUUUUGGAGAGAACUGUUAACGAAGCAGCCUCACAUUUGGAGACCGGAGGGACUGCCGUCCUGGUCCUCCCACUGAAGACCACUUCAAAGAUGUCUUGAGGAGACUACCCUCCAGCUGCGACCAUGGCUGCUGCCGAAGCCGCCAUUUCUCCUUCAGGAGGUCUUGCUCUGGUACAGCUGCACCAGCUUACAUCAGUAACAAGAACAUCAAUCAGCCACGGCAGGGCUUCUCUUCCGGCAGCUGUUCUCACUCAGGAUGGGAAUGCUAUCGGUGACUCAGAAAAUAAAAAGUUGUUAUUUGGUGCUUA